rnacentral:rRNA from 1 species
UGGCCCUAAUCUUGAUGCUCGAUAUUACCUGAGCAUCCGCCUGAGAACUACGAGCACAAACGCUUAAAACUCUAAGGACUUGGCGGUGCCCCAAACCCACCUAGAGGAGCCUGUUCUAUAAUCGAUGAUCCACGAUACACCCUACCAUUCCUUGCACAAAACAGCCUAUAUACCGCCGUCGCCAGCCCACCCCUCCUGAGGGCCCAACAGUGGACGCAACAGCCCCCCGCUAAUACGACAGGUCAAGGUAUAGCCCAUGGAAUGGCAGCAAUGGGCUACAUUUUCUAAGAUAGAACACACGGCAAAGGGGUAUGAAACUACCCCUGGAAGGCGGAUUUAGCAGUAAAGUGGGAUAAUCAAGCCCUCUUUAAGCCGGCCCUGGAGCACGUACAUACCGCCCGUCACCCUCCUCAAAAGCGACCCCAAACCCCCCAUAACUUAAUAAGCUACUCAGCCAAAGAUGAGGUAAGUCGUAACAAGGUAAGUGUACCGGAAGGUGCACUUAGAACACCAAGACGUAGCUUUAACCAAAGCAUUAUAU